rnacentral:rRNA from 1 species
AUUGAACGCUGGCGGCAUGCCUUACACAUGCAAGUCGAACGGCAGCACGGGAGCAAUCCUGGUGGCGAGUGGCGAACGGGUGAGUAAUAUAUCGGAACGUGCCCGGUCGUGGGGGAUAACGUAGCGAAAGCUACGCUAAUACCGCAUACGAUCUACGGAUGAAAGCGGGGGAUCGCAAGACCUCGCGCGAUUGGAGCGGCCGAUAUCAGAUUAGGUAGUUGGUGAGGUAAAGGCUCACCAAGCCGACGAUCUGUAGCUGGUCUGAGAGGACGACCAGCCACACUGGGACUGAGACACGGCCCAGACUCCUACGGGAGGCAGCAGUGGGGAAUAUUGGACAAUGGGCGAAAGCCUGAUCCAGCCAUGCCGCGUGUGUGAAGAAAGGGUCUUCGGAUUGUAAAGCACUUUAAGUUGGGAGGAAGGGUAGUAACCUAAUACGUU